rnacentral:lncRNA from 1 species
ACAUUCUCCACCAAACUCUCCUUCAAUUUUUUUCAUUUUUCUUCAUUAACACUAUCAAAGAACAACUACGAAGACACCAAAUUAAGAUUUUUCCUCCAUUAAACACCAUCUCAAUUUUCAAUCCAACUCCCUCAAAAUUUGGACUAAAAUUAAAUUAAACCGAUGAUUUUAUCUUUGAACCACUUAUCAUCAAUGAGAUUUCUUUUAAUUUUCAUUUUUGAAUUUUUUUCGCUAAUAAGACAAAUUUUGAAUAGUAAAAUAAAUGAAAAAACUAUUUUUGACUUGGCGAGGGUAUUUUCGUGUUUGAAGAAGAAAGAAAAAAGGGGUGGAGGGGCAUUUUUCGUGUAUGCAGGGGUGGGGGAUGAAGAGGAGAAAGAGAGUAGGGGGGAGGUCUGAAGAAGAAAGAAAAAAGGGGUGGGGGCAUUUCUCACGUUUACAGGGGUGGGGGCUAGAAGAGGAGAAAGAGGGGAGGAUGAUCUGAACAAGAAAGAAAAAAGGGUAGGAUGGCGUGGGGCGCAUUUUUAGUGUUUG